rnacentral:rRNA from 1 species
AACGAACGCUGGCGGCAGGCCUAACACAUGCAAGUCGAGCGGACCCUUCGGGGUUAGCGGCGGACGGGUGAGUAACGCGUGGGAAUAUGCCCUUCUCUACGGAAUAGUCCUGGGAAACUGGGGGUAAUACCGUAUACGCCCUUUGGGGGAAAGAUUUAUCGGGGAAGGAUUAGCCCGCGUUGGAUUAGGUAGUUGGUGGGGUAAUGGCCUACCAAGCCGACGAUCCAUAGCUGGUUUGAGAGGAUGAUCAGCCACACUGGGACUGACACGGCCCAGACUCCUACGGGAGGCAGCAGUGGGGAAUCUUAGACAAUGGGGGCAACCCUGAUCUAGCCAUGCCGCGUGAGUGAUGAAGGCCUUAGGGUUGUAAAGCUCUUUCAGCUGGGAAGAUAAUGACGGUACCAGCAGAAGAAGCCCCGGCUAACUCCGUG